rnacentral:rRNA from 1 species
GAUGAACGCUAGCGGCAGGCUUAAUACAUGCAAGUCGAGGGGCAGCAGGGGUAGCAAUACCCGCUGGCGACCGGCAAACGGGUGCGGAACACGUACGCAACUUUCCCAAAACUGGUGAAUAGCCCUCCGAAAGGAGGAUUAAUACACCGUAACAUGAUGAAGUGGCAUCACUUUAUUAUUAUAGCUCCGGCGGUUUUGGAUGGGCGUGCGCCUGAUUAGGUAGUUGGUGGGGAACGGCCCACCAAGCCAACGAUCAGUAACUGGUGUGAGAGCACGACCAGUCACACGGGCACUGAGACACGGGCCCGACUCCUACGGGAGGCAGCAGUAAGGAAUAUUGGUCAAUGGACGCAAGUC